UAUUUUAAGUGCGGCGCACUUUAGGGGCCCUGGCUGUAAGUAUGCUGUCGUAUGCAGUCGUCGCUAGGCGUAACGCAGGCAAAACCACGUAUAAAAAUAGAAAAAAAAAGAGGAAGCAAGCGAGAAAUAAAAAUAGAGAAAGAAAGAAAGAGAAAGACAUAGAUAAAGAGAGAUGAAGAAAUAAAUA
rnacentral:lncRNA from 1 species